rnacentral:rRNA from 1 species
UACAGAGGUGGCAAGCGUUGUUCGGAAUUACUGGGCGUAAAGGGCGCGUAGGCGGCUUGGUCAGUCCCGUGUGAAAUCCCUCGGCUCAACUGAGGAACUGCACGGGAAACUGCCUGGCUUGAGUUCGGGAGAGGGAAGCGGAAUUCCUGGUGUAGCGGUGAAAUGCGCAGAUAUCAGGAGGAACACCGGUGGCGAAGGCGGGUCUCUGGGCCGAUACUGACGCUGAGGAGCGAAAGCGUGGGGAGCGAACAGG